GCAUAUCAAUAAGCGGAGGAAAAGAAACCAACAGGGAUUGCCUCAGUAACGGCGAGUGAAGCGGCAACAGCUCAAAUUUGAAAUCUGGCCUCACGGUCCGAGUUGUAAUUUGUAGAGGAUGUUUCGAGCAUGGUCCGGCCUAAGUGUCUUGGAACAGGACGUCAUAGAGGGUGAGAACCCCGUAUGCGGUCGGGUGCCUACGCUCAUGUGAAACUCCUUCGACGAGUCGAGUUGUUUGGGAAUGCAGCUCAAAAUGGGUGGUAAAUUUCAUCUAAAGCUAAAUAUUGGCCAGAGACCGAUAGCGCACAAGUAGAGUGAUCGAAAGAUGAAAAGCACUUUGGAAAGAGAGUUAAACAGUACGUGAAAUUGUUGAAAGGGAAGCGCUUGCAACCAGACUUGGGCGCGGCCGAUCAUCCGGUGUUCUCACCGGUGCACUCGGUCGCGUGCAGGCCAGCAUCGGUUCUGGUGGCUGGAUAAAGGCCCUAGGAAUGUGGCUCCUCUCGGGGAGUGUUAUAGCCUAGGGUGCAAUGCAGCCUACCGGGACCGAGGACCGCGCUUCGGCUAGGAUGCUGGCGUAAUGGUUGUAAGUGACCCGUCUUGAAACACGGACCAAGGAGUCUAACAUCUAUGCGAGUGUUUGGGUGUCAAACCCAUACGCGUAAUGAAAGUGAACGGAGGUGAGAACCCUUAAGGGUGCAUCAUCGACCGAUCCUGAUGUCUUCGGAUGGAUUUGAGUAUGAGCAUAGCUGUUGGGACCCGAAAGAUGGUGAACUAUGCCUGACUAGGGUGAAGCCAGAGGAAACUCUGGUGGAGGCUCGCAGCGGUUCUGACGUGCAAAUCGAUCGUCAAAUUUGGGCAUAGGGGCGAAAGACUAAUCGAACCAUCUAGUAGCUGGUUCCUGCCGA
rnacentral:rRNA from 1 species